rnacentral:rRNA from 1 species
CCAAUAGCGUAUAUUAAAGUUGUUGCAGUUAAAAAGCUCGUAGUUGAAUUUCGGGGUCAGCAGGUUGGUCGUGCCAUUGGUAUGCACUGGCUUCGCUGAUUCCUCCUUUCUGAAGAACUGUAAUGUCAUUAAUUUGGUGUUGCAGGGAAACAGGACUGUUACUUUGAAAAAAUUAGAGUGUUUAAAGCAGGCUAACGCUUGAAUACAUUAGCAUGGAAUAAUGAAAUAGGACGUUUGAUCCUAUUUUGUUGGUUUCUAGGAUUGACGUAAUGAUUAAUAGGGAUAGUUGGGGGCAUUAGUAUUCAAUUGUCAGAGGUGAAAUUCUUGGAUUUAUYGAAGACUAACUACUGCGAAAGCAUUUGCCAAGGAUGUUUUCAUUAAUCAAGAACGAAAGUUAGGGGAUCGAAGACGAUCAGAUACCGUCGUAGUCUUAACCAUAAACUAUGCCGACUAGGGAUCGGAUGAUGUUAAUUUUUUAAUGACUCA